rnacentral:rRNA from 1 species
CAGCAGCCGCGGUAAUACGAAGGGGGCUAGCGUUGCUCGGAAUUACUGGGCGUAAAGGGCGCGUAGGCGGAUGUUUAAGUCAGAGGUGAAAGCCCAGGGCUCAACCUUGGAACUGCCUUUGAUACUGGACAUCUUGAGUGUGGGAGAGGAGAGUGGAACUCCGAGUGUAGAGGUGAAAUUCGUAGAUAUUCGGAAGAACACCAGUGGCGAAGGCGACUCACUGGCCCAUUACUGACGCUGAGGCGCGAAAGCGUGGGGAGCAAACAGGAUUAGAUACCCCAGUAGUCCCUGUCUCUUAUAC